ACGUCCUGCCAAACCCGUCCC
rnacentral:siRNA from 1 species